rnacentral:rRNA from 1 species
UGGCCGGUACAGACGGACGCAAAGCCGCGAGGCGGAGCAAAUCCGAAAAAGACCGGUCUCAGUUCGGAUUGCAGGGCUGCAAUUCGCCUGCAUGAAGUCGGAAUCGCUAGUAAUCGCAGGUCAGCAUACUGCGGUGAAUACGUUCCCGGGCCUU